rnacentral:lncRNA from 1 species
AUGAUUGGCCCAGAUGAGAGGCUGGACUUGCCCUUUGUGAUGGAAAUUCUGUUUCACAAGAAUGCCCCUAAGAUGGUGAAGUCAUCCCAGGUGUGGAAAAUCCAGCUGCUCCUUGCUGUUAGGUCUGAGACUCACAUGCCUGGUCUGAAAUCUAUGUGCAGAAGCACUGUCAUCGCCCUGUUUUCUUCCACUCUGGGAAGAACUCUGAGAAAUGGAGUUAAGUCUGUGAGGUAACUCAGCCCUAGUUUUCUUCUAUGGAAGAAAUGUUAAUAUUUUUUCAUUCUAGAAAUGUGUUUUUGAAGUGUGGUUGUCCUGUCUUUCAUAGGAACAUAUUGCAACUAUUAAUGCCCUGCAGUGAACUAGAGAGCCUGCGGAGCACAUAGAAAGGUAUGAGUUGUGGAUGACAGAAACAUCUCUAUGAAAGAAACAAGACCCCUUUUCUGAAGGGGUGAGUAGUAUGAUGUGAAGUCAGACAUUACUAACUCCAGUAAUAAUCCAGUCAGCCAUGAGGUGAGAUGCUGCUAGUAACAUCAGUCUCCUAAGGUACCCAUUCCUCUGUAGUUUAGUAUCAUACUGAUGUUCUACCCUGCAUAGGAAAUUUUUUUGGUAUAUUUUUGCUCUUUCUUUGUUAUUAAUUAAGGUGUUAAUUCAGUAAUACACUGCCAACAAUGCAAAAGCAUUCCGCUGUUUAUGUUUGAUGUUAGACUACUAAGUUGAUGCAACCCGUUAUGAAGUAAUUGCUUGAUUUCAAAUUGUCACCAGGGACCAUCAGACAAAUGACUGAGUGAUAUAUGCAUCUAACUCUUCUAUAUGUUGAGAGGGAAAUAUUAGUUACCUGCCUGCAAGACUUGGGCAGCUCACUGCUCUUGAGUUAACAGUGAGGUUCAGUGGCUGGUAUUCAUAAGAAUGGAAGGCCAGAUCUUGUAUGGAUGUGGGGAGAAUGUAAAGUGCAAUCAUUCUGAGUUUUGACAAGGGUCAUUCGCAGCAGGCGUGGAGAUGCUGGGAUCUUGGGUUAGGCUUUGUGCCACUCCUGCAUGCUGAAAGGCAAUGAGAAGUUCCUGGGUGGAUUCUGUCGUCUUCCAUCAGAAGGGCAAAAUGCCAGUUGUUGUCAUAGACAGGGUUAUUGGAUUACCUCAGGAAAUCACUCCUUGACACAUACAGAAUCCUUAAUUAAUUAUUAUCAUUUCUCAACUUGCCCUUUCUGUCUGGAAUUUAUUAAGGAAGCUCAGAGGUAGUACCUCCUGUAGUAUGGGGAGCUAGGGAGCUACUUUUGUUCCAUCCUUCCACCCUUCCUUUCAUCAAUAUGCACAGCACUUUUCCAACAAGAUAAAGAUGCCCUGAAAAGCUUUCAGCCCAAGUUCAAUGGAGAACAAACAGGAGGGAAUGGAAAUGAGAAGGGGGGUGAAUGACAAGAAGGGAAAAAAUGAAUGAAGGCGAGACCAGCCUGAUUAUUGUGAAAACUAAUGAGAUGACUGGAGGCAGUGAAUUUUCCAGAAUAAAAUGACAAUAUUUAAAGGCA